GACGAACGCUGGCGGCGUGCUUAACACAUGCAAGUCGAACGAAGUGGCGAACGGGUGAGUAAUACGUGGGUAACCUGCCCUCCUUUUUGGGAUAAGCCUUGGAAACGGGGUCUAAUACCGAAUAAAGGGGGAUGGGCUCGCGGCCUAUCAGCGUGUUGGUGGGGUGAUGGCCUACCAAGGCGGUGACGGGUAGCCGGCCUGAGAGGGUGAACUGGUACAUGGGGACUGGGGUGCGGCCUAGGGGACUAAGGGGGGGAGCAGUGGGGGCUAUUGCCCAAAGGGCGAAAGACCGAUGCAGCGUCAGUGCGUGGGGGUUGAAGGCUUUCGGGUUCUGAAGCUCUUUCAGUACCGAACGGGUAGGUGGAGAAGAAGCGCCGGCUAACUACGUGCCAGCAGCCGCGGUAAUUC
rnacentral:rRNA from 1 species